rnacentral:tRNA from 1 species
GGGAUCCUAGAUCAAUGGUAGAUCACUUGCUUUGCAUGUGAGUAAUAUCGGUUCGACUCCGAUGGAUUCCA